CAUUUACCUGAACACAAACUCAAACCACAAAAACAACCUGCAGCAGUGACGAUGCCAGAAGUCCGUCCAGUUUAUCUUGGACCAGGACAUGAAUUCAUGUAUUUUUUGGCCUCCCGCUGCCUCCGUACAUCCUCAUCAUCUGUCCACAUCUGUCAGAGAGCUCACGGUUAACGCUAAGAGGGAUACAGCUACGGCGACCACAGUUACGUUUAGGCACAAAAACCACUAGUUAAGUUUAGGAAAAAGAUCGUGAUUAGGAUUAAAACACUCCUGAGGAACGAACGUUACAAUUAUAUUCUUUUAUUACAGGGCUGCACAAUAUACAUGUGGCUUAAGUUUGCGACAUUUCGUGAAAGUUUACGACAUUUCGCGAAAAUUUGCGACAUCGUGAAAGUUUGCGACGUGUCAAUUAAGUUUGCGACAUAUCGUGAAAGUUUGCGUCACGUCACGAAAGUUUGACACUCGCAAACUUUUACGAUAUGUCGUAAAGUUUUCGCAAAAUAUGGCUAAAGUUUGAAACAUAUCAAUUAAGUUUGCGACACGUCGUGAAAGUUUGCGACAUAUCGUGAAAGUUUGCGACAUUUCGUGAAAGUUUGCGUCACGUCACGAAAGUUUGACACUCCGUGAAAGUUUGCGACAUUUCGCGAAAAUUUGCGACAUAUCGUGAAAGUUUGCGACGUGUCAAAUAAGUUUGCGACAUAUAGCGAAAGUUUGCGAAACGUUGCGACGUAUUUUUGUGUUAGUUGAAAGAAAAUAGCAGAAAACUGCACUUCAAAGUGUUAGUCAUUCUUUUUUUAGCGCCGCCUUUUAUGUUUAAUUCAUUGUUCAGUUUGUUGUAUUUUAGCAGAAUACUGAAAGCAGCAGAACUGAGAAUUUUUAAUAUCGUCAUUUCAAUAUUUAACAACCUAAUUUUCCUCACAUCCUGCAGCCCUAUUACUGUACAUUAGCCGAGAUUUUGCGUAACUUUCGGCCGUAGCUGUAUCCCUUCUAGCUACAACCGGGAGCUACCUACGGUACAAUCAGCGCUCAACACACCCUGGUGUGUUUUCAGGCACAUUCACGUGAAACUAUAGAAACAUUGUUGGGAGAUGUUCUCAUUCUCUAACUGCACUUUACAGGACUUUUAUUUUUUUUUUAGCUGGUUUCUGGUACAAAACUUCACAGUAAAGUUGUUAAUGGUGGACGUUUUUGGUUUGUUUAGCAGAGUCAAAAAAAAGACGAGAGACUCGGUGAAGAAGAGGAGAAUUUGAAUAGUCCGUUGGUGUCGGGGAACUUUUUUUUUUGGUUAACGGUUCUCUCGCUGUGCUGCCUUUUUACCCUCAAAUUUCCUCAUUUGUUCCCUUGGAUUAAUAAUUUGUACAGUUCUUCUCUUCUGAGCAUCUUCUUGUUUGUUUUUAUGAACUCUGAUGAAAUCUGUAGGAUUGAUUGUUAUUCAUAUAUCUUGUUAUUCUGUGAAAAUCUGUAUUAUGGGAUGUCAAAAAAGGAAUGAAGAAAAUAUGACGAUUAAGACAAAAUUCAUUCAGAUUUAAUCAAACUAUUACUAAUCAAAGUUUUUUUAUUUUUAGAGGAGGAAUUACGUCACUUGAGAACUUCAUUUUUAACAGUACAAAGUAGUAAUUUAAGGGAACUGAUAAAUCUAAGGGUACUAACUAAGAUAUGAGGGUAUAAAAUAAGCACGUAAAGAACUGAUUUGAAGGGCUGGGUAUCGCUCAUCACGAUGCAAAACCUGUCUGUUUGAAACACAAACAUUUUUCAAUGUUGUUUUUUAAGAACUUAAAACACGUUUUUCUAUAAAACCAAAAGAAGUUCAAUGUUGUAGAAACACUAUGAGCCGUACGAGAACUUUAUCUGAUAAAAUACAGUUUGACAUUUGCAUAUUUUGUGUUAUUUUUGGGGGCAUUUUAUGUCUUUAUUUGACGGCAGACAGUAGAGAGAUGUUGGGACAUAA